AUUAAACUAAAAGAACUGAUGCUAUACAGCACUGGUAGUACUAGCCUACUAGUUGCUAAUUACAGGUAUUACGUAGAUAUUAGCACAAGAGUGUGAGUGUGGCCUUUGAAUCGAAGGCACCAGGAAGACAAUGGAUACAAAGCUGAAACCAAGUCUGUUAUAAAUUAAAGAAUGGUUAGCCCAGACACAUUGUACGUCAUUGUUAUGGAAAACCAUUAGGCAAAUCCCAAGCUAAGUGGGAUACUUUGGUGGCUCCACUAGUAGUUAUUCGGAGGGAUGUUUCUAGGCGUGCUCUGAUCGAUAGCCAGAAGGUGUCGGCAACCAUCGGAUGGUCCGUAGCUUGACAUAGAACUAUAGGGUGAUAUCCGCGGCGGUGUUUACAAAGUGGCAUCGAGCGUGGAUGGAUACAGAGCGUUAGAGCCUACAUGCACUGCACAUGAUCUAUGUGACCCAUUGGUUAGUCUUAUAAUUGGUCAUUAGCCGAUCUAUCCCAUCGUCACAAAAACAACUUUACCUGUUUAACAUUAGUAUAAAAGCUUGUAGAUUACUGUGUGGAAGCAUAUACAUUUUAUACUAAAAUCCAAUAGAAACCAAAUAGUUGGUACUAUUAUCUGUAAUUCAAAUUUGUCUUCCAUUACGAGGUACGAAUAGUAUUUUGUACGGUUGUAUACAUUGUUUUGAUGGUUUUUUAGCCCAAAGUUUGUAUAUUGUUAUAACAGAGGCUAAACAUUUUAUACCG
rnacentral:lncRNA from 7 species